UACGUAGGCAGCAAGCGUUGUUCGGAUUUACUGGGCGUAAAGCGUGCGCAGGCGGUUUUGUAAGCCAGAUGUGAAAUCCCCGGGCUCAACCUGGGAAUGGCAUUUGGGACUGCAAGGCUGGAGUUUGGCAGAGGAGACUGGAAUUCCUGGUGUAGCAGUGAAAUGCGUAGAUAUCAGGAGGAACACCGAUGGCGAAGGCAGGUCUCUGGGCUGAAACUGACGCUCAUGCACGAAAGCGUGGGGAGCGAACAGG
rnacentral:rRNA from 1 species